GUGCACGCUGGCGGUAGGCCUAACACAUGCCCGUCGCACGGCAGCACAGUAAGAGCUUGCUCUUACGGGUGGCGAGUGGCGGACGGGUGAGGAAUACAUCGGAAUCUACUUUUUCGUGGGGGAUAACGUAGGGAAACUUACGCUAAUACCGCAUACGACCUACGGGUGAAAGCAGGGGAUCUUCGGACCUUGCGCGAUUGAAUGAGCCGAUGUCGGAUUAGCUAGUUGGCGGGGUAAAGGCCCACCAAGGCGACGAUCCGUAGCUGGUCUGAGAGGAUGAUCAGCCACACUGGAACUGAGACACGGUCCAGACUCCUACGGGAGGCAGCAGUGGGGAAUAUUGGACAAUGGGCGCAAGCCUGAUCCAGCCAUACCGCGUGGGUGAAGAAGGCCUUCGGGUUGUAAAGCCCUUUUGUUGGGAAAGAAAAGCAGCAGGUUAAUACCCCGCUGUUCUGACGGUACCCAAAGAAUAAGCACCAGCUAACUUCGUG
rnacentral:rRNA from 1 species